rnacentral:rRNA from 1 species
AGAGUUUGAUCAUGGCUCAGAGCGAACGCUGGCGGCAGGCCUAACACAUGCAAGUCGAACGAACUCUUCGGAGUUAGUGGCGGACGGGUGAGUAACACGUGGGAACGUGCCUUUAGGUUCGGAAUAACUCAGGGAAACUUGUGCUAAUACCGAAUGUGCCCUUCGGGGGAAAGAUUUAUCGCCUUUAGAGCGGCCCGCGUCUGAUUAGCUAGUUGGUGAGGUAAAGGCUCACCAAGGCGACGAUCAGUAGCUGGUCUGAGAGGAUGAUCAGCCACAUUGGGACUGAGACACGGCCCAAACUCCUACGGGAGGCAGCAGUGGGGAAUCUUGCGCAAUGGGCGAAAGCCUGACGCAGCCAUGCCGCGUGAAUGAUGAAGGUCUUAGGAUUGUAAAAUUCUUUCACCGGGGACGAUAAUGACGGUACCCGGAGAAGAAGCCCCGGCUAACUUCGUGCCAGCAGCCGCGGUAAUACGAAGGGGGCUAGCGUUGCUCGGAAUUACUGGGCGUAAAGGGAGCGUAGGCGGACAUUUAAGUCAGGGGUGAAAUCCCGGGGCUCAACCUCGGAAUUGCCUUUGAUACUGGGUGUCUUGAGUAUGAGAGAGGUGUGUGGAACUCCGAGUGUAGAGGUGAAAUUCGUAGAUAUUCGGAAGAACACCAGUGGCGAAGGCGACACACUGGCUCAUUACUGACGCUGAGGCUCGAAAGCGUGGGGAGCAAACAGGAUUAGAUACCCUGGUAGUCCACGCCGUAAACGAUGAUUGCUAGUUGUCGGGAUGCAUGCAUUUCGGUGACGCAGCUAACGCAUUAAGCAAUCCGCCUGGGGAGUACGGUCGCAAGAUUAAAACUCAAAGGAAUUGACGGGGGCCCGCACAAGCGGUGAAGCAUGGUGGUUUAAUUC